rnacentral:misc_RNA from 1 species
GUUUAUCAGGUUAGUGCAUUUUAGCAUUCAUUGCUGUUGUUUUCCAUUAUUGAUUUUUCUUUAAUUUCCAUUGAAUUCUUAACUAUGUCCUAUGUUUCUUCUUUUACCCCAAAAUUACUCAAGUUGUUAAAGAAGUCAUACUUUUAAGACCAUUAUUGGUCUUGUUCUUGUAUGGAUAUGAACAUAGUAUAAGUGUUAUUCAAGGGUAUGAUUUAUCUUAAUAACUAAGGCGUCAGUUGGUUAGCUUGCUUUUUUCUUAUUGUUACAUUUGUUUUCAAGCAAAAUCAAAAUUAGUAGAAAGUACUUUUUAGAAAGCAAAAGGCAAACAAACCAAAUAGAGGCUAAGCUAACAAUGUUCUAUUUCUCAAAGGAAUAAAUCAUUUUGGAAAUUUUUUAACCAUGUUAAAGCGCAUCUCAAAUUAAUUUUGUUUCGUAUGAUAUGAUUGUUGAUGAUGAUGAUGCCAGGCUCUCCUAUCAAUCUUAGAUAGUCCAGAAAAUAAGGCUGGGAGGUUGCGAGCUGUGUAUGUUAAAACUGAUAAAGGUGUUCUUUUUGAAGUUAAACCAUACGUGCGUAUCCAAGGACAUAUAAGCGAUUUGCUGGAAUUAUGUUACAGCUGCUUCAAAAACUGAGUAUAACUGCUGUAGGUAAGCGUGAGAAACUUUUGCGUGCAAUCAAGAAUCCUGUGACCCAGUACCUGCCUGUCAACUCUC